CAAAUAGGUCAACGAAAUUAUAAAAGGUUAACAUAAUAAAGACAACUUUUACUCAUCGUGACUUUCCUUCUUCCUCCAUCCCCGGUCUCAUCGCUAUCUCACAGCAACAAGUAUAUCGUUUCAGAUUGCGAAGAUAUUCAUCCACAUACAAAGCUUCAAAUCUAAUUAUUAGAAAUACCGAUAGUUUACAGAACGGCCACUCCAGCCGUUUCAGAAAUUUCUCAGUCUAAUCCUAUAAAACGCCUCAGCUCAGAAAGUUUACAAAACGGCCAUUCCAGCGCGGGCAAAUCACAUCACAGAUUGUGAAGAAAGAAGAAGUCAAUCGAGUAUUUAGCAUGCUAAGAAUUGUCAACAAGUCGUACAAGAGAAAGAUUCUUCAUGAGGUCAAGAUCCUUCCCUUAAAUGAUCUGAAGUACUCAAGUUCUGCAUGGACUCUAAGCUGCCAAAAGAUUUAGUCUAUGGUCGUGCCUAUAGUUCCUUUGUGAUUUUCGAAUUAUUACUUUGCCUUCGUUGUGAUAAUGUGAUAUGUGAUGGGGGCCAUGAGAGUUAGUCCAUUGUCGUAGAGGUUGUGUUUUGACACAGAGAAAAUUAAAGCCAGUGCAUAUGGAGUUUCUAAGCAUAGAAAUUGACGUUGGGAAUGGGCACUACAGAAAAUAUGCGUAUUAAUAGCAUCAAAUUAUCAAAUUAUAGCGUUUAUGACAGUUCUACUAUUGUAUACCAACACUUACUUUUUCUAUAGCGUUUAUCAAUUUAAAAUGCUAUAUUUGUUACCGCAGAAAAAUAAUUUUUUUUUGCCAUAUUAAUUUGCUAGGUGCAGGCUUCAACACUUGGAAAAAAUAAAUAUUUUGCCACCAAAACAUUUCUCAGAUUCACCGAAACGGCUUUGUAUUGUUUCUCAGAAUCAUAAACUAGAGUCUUUUCUCCACUUUCUCUCUCGAACUCAUCCUCUCUUCAGCUCCAUCUCUCCUCCGUCGUGUUUGCCGGUUAGUUUUUUCAUGGCUUCCACCGGACAAACCUCCAAUCUUCGUCGUUCACUUUCUCUUUUUAAUUCUUUCUUAGGGUUUUGAUUUGGGGGUUUUUGGGUUUCGAUUUGUCUUGACUAUUUUUUACCGUCGAAUCCUCCUCCCCCUCACCGCCGUCACUCCUCACUUCCUCGCCUCACCGUCAGAUCUGUUGUCACCUCCGUUGGUUACAGAGAAGCAACAGUUCCUGGAGCGUUUCGACUUCACCAAUUCAUCCUCUCAGGAGACAGCUUGCUAGUUUCUAAGUCUGGCCGGAAGACAAUGAUUAUGAGAUGUAGACUACAUGGAGAACCGCAUAUAUGAUGAACGAAGUGAUUAUGCUGGUGGUUUGAAAGCUGGAAGAAGGCUUUCCUCUGGAACCUCUUCUAACAAUAAGGGAGACAAGGAGGAUGUGUGUGUGUGUGUGUGUGUGUCCAGGGAGACGAGGAUGAUGUAAACGUGAUUUGACUGAACUGAAGAAAGCCAAUGACGUUGAAAUUCCAUCUGGAUCCAUAAUCUCAAAACUUUCUAGACGUUCUUUAAGUAUUAUAUGCCUGGGAAACUUUAUAUUUUGUUUUGUGACAAAGUUUAGAAUGCGUGCAUGAUUAUCUCUUUAAAUAUAUAUUGAAUCUUCGUUUAUGGAUAUGGAUUAAUUAAGCUCAAGGAGAACUAAGGUUUUUAAAUAUCAAAACAAAAAAACCAUUACAAAACCAAGGAACAAUGAAUAAAAUAAUGCGAAAUUGAGUAUUUCGGAGAUUGAUGAAUCAUCCAGACAUUUAGGGCAGUGGCAGGCAAAACCGUAUCUAGAUUUAUAUAUAAUUAUAGGGUGUUAAAUCCCUGAACAUAAAUUUAAAAUUUCAAUCUAUUCAUUUCAAUCAAAAAUUAAACUUAAUCAUUUUAAAAAUCUAUCUCAAAUUUAAAUCUAAACCUCAAACACUAAAUCUUAAAUCUACACCCUAAACCCCAAACCCCAAACUUAAACUCUACAUACAAAGUCAUAAAUCUAAGUUUUUCAAAUUUAUAAUAUAAAUUUUAAACUUAAACUCCAAGUAUAUUUAAAACUCAAAUCAUGUUUAUAAAUCUAAACACCAACACUAAAACUUUAAUAAUUUAAAUUCAAGAUGUAUACUUUUCCAAACUUGAAUAUAAAACCAUAAGUAUAACCUCAAACUCUAAACCUUACAUAUACAUACUUCAAACCAUAUAUCCAUACUUAAAAUGUAUACUUAAUAAUUUUAACAUUCAUACUCAAAUCCUUAACUCUAUAACUCUAUAUUAUGAACAUAUACAUUUUAAUAUCAAACCCAUAACCAUAAACCACAAAUCAUUUUAUUUUUCCUAUUGGUUCAUUUCACAAAGGUGUGUAUCUUUUAAUUUUUAAGUUUAUAUAUAUUUUUAAUCCUAAAGCUUAAAUUACAAAUCAUUUUUAUAUUGUAACUUCCAAAAUUUUAAACUAAACCAUAGAACAAGAAACAAAAACUACAAAAACAAAGGAAAAAAACUUAUUAGUUAAUACAUAAAUAAUGUUAGCAAAUAUGAGCCAAUUAAAAACAAGUGCGUGGAUCGCAAUCUUAACGACUCAUUAAAUCGAAUCUAAAGGUCCACAAUCAUUUUCUUCUGAUUGGUUCAUUUAGAAAAAAUGGGAUCAAUCAUAUUUAAUCCUGGUCGUUGAUCAGUGUCGAUCUAAAGGCUGAAAUUAAUCUAUUUUAAUUAAUUGUUUUAAAUCUUUUUUCUUCCUUCUCUCCUCUAUCGAGACUUCAUCUCUUUGGCUAAAAAAAUUCGAGACUUCAUCUCUUCAUCUUCUCUCUUCUCUCUUCUCUUCUAAUCUGCUUCUUUUCAUUUCCAUCAAUGAAAAACAAAGAUAUCAAUCACCGAUGGUAAGAUUUAAUGUUAUUUUGUUUCGUCUCUUCUACUCAUCUGUUUUUAGAUUUGUUUUUGUUUGUUUCCAGAUCUGCGAAAAUGGUACUGUGAUAACUAAAAGUUGGUGGUGUGACGAGUUAGUGGUUGGCGAGAGAGCAAGACGAUGGAGACAUGGCUGAGGGCAUGACUGGUCGCUACAUCUCUGGCCGACGUCUUGGUGGUCACAGAGAGAGAUUGUGGAGAAGAUGAUUGAAAUGAUCGACUCUGGUUGUGAUUAAUGGUUGCUCUGAUCUUUCAUCUUUUUUUCUUUAGUAUGACCAGUCUUGCCCUGUUAUGGAGUUGUUGACAAGUUCUUCUUGGGAGUUUCUACUCAGCCGGGUUCGUCAUAAUUUAAUUGUUUAUCUACUACAGCAAACAUCGAUAUUCUUACCGUUUCUAAGAAAGAAACACCAGCAAGUGUGGACCUCCUCUAUGUAUCGUGCUAAAGGGUAAGUCCCGAGCCGAGCUUCUUCAGACCUUGUCUGAUGCUAAUGUUGGACUUUCCAGAAAGAGAGGUACAAAAACUUUAGCUGUGACAUCUCAGAUGAUGUAAGAGAACAGAGGCUUAAGUCGGAGAUGGCAGAGAAAGCUAGUGGUGGUGGUGUAGGUGAAGCCAAACAAGAAGAAGAAGAAGAGAAGAAAGAGCCAGGAAGAAGGAGACGAUGGAACUGCGAUGGAAGGGAGACCGCAGCUUAGAGCUUUAGGUUUUAGUUUAUUAGGUUUGGUUCAAUUUUUUUUUUGUUUAUUUAGGUUUGGUUAAUUAGUUUUUGGUUUAAUAUUUUGGUUAAUGUAUAAACUGAUUUUAUUUGUAAACAAAAUUUUAUUAAUAAAUAUAAUUUAAUUUUUAAUU